rnacentral:siRNA from 1 species
CACCUUUUGCUCCUUUGUCGCCU